rnacentral:rRNA from 1 species
GAACGCUGAAGAGAGGAGCUUGCUCUUCUUGGAUGAGUUGCGAACGGGUGAGUAACGCGUAGGUAACCUGCCUUGUAGCGGGGGAUAACUAUUGGAAACGAUAGCUAAUACCGCAUAACAAUGGAUGACACAUGUCAUUUAUUUGAAAGGGGCAAUUGCUCCACUACAAGAUGGACCUGCGUUGUAUUAGCUAGUAGGUGAGGUAAUGGCUCACCUAGGCGACGAUACAUAGCCGACCUGAGAGGGUGAUCGGCCACACUGGGACUGAGACACGGCCCAGACUCCUACGGGAGGCAGCAGUAGGGAAUCUUCGGCAAUGGGGGCAACCCUGACCGAGCAACGCCGCGUGAGUGAAGAAGGUUUUCGGAUCGUAAAGCUCUGUUGUAAGUCAAGAACGGGUGUGAGAGUGGAAAGUUCACACUGUGACGGUAGCUUACCAGAAAGGGACGGCUAACUACGUGCCAGCAGCCGCGGUAAUACGUAGGUCCCGAGCGUUGUCCGGAUUUAUUGGGCGUAAAGCGAGCGCAGGCGGUUUGAUAAGUCUGAAGUUAAAGGCUGUGGCUCAACCAUAGUUCGCUUUGGAAACUGUCAAACUUGAGUGCAGAAGGGGAGAGUGGAAUUCCAUGUGUAGCGGUGAAAUGCGUAGAUAUAUGGAGGAACACCGGUGGCGAAAGCGGCUCUCUGGUCUGUAACUGACGCUGAGGCUCGAAAGCGUGGGGAGCGAACAGGAUUAGAUACCCUGGUAGUCCACGCCGUAAACGAUGAGUGCUAGGUGUUGGAUCCUUUCCGGGAUUCAGUGCCGCAGCUAACGCAUUAAGCACUCCGCCUGGGGAGUACGACCGCAAGGUUGAAACUCAAAGGAAUUGACGGGGGCCCGCACAAGCGGUGGAGCAUGUGGUUUAAUUCGAAGCAACGCGAAGAACCUUACCAGGUCUUGACAUCCCGAUGCUAUUUCUAGAGAUAGAAAGUUACUUCGGUACAUCGGUGACAGGUGGUGCAUGGUUGUCGUCAGCUCGUGUCGUGAGAUGUUGGGUUAAGUCCCGCAACGAGCGCAACCCCUAUUGUUAGUUGCCAUCAUUCAGUUGGGCACUCUAGCGAGACUGCCGGUAAUAAACCGGAGGAAGGUGGGGAUGACGUCAAAUCAUCAUGCCCCUUAUGACCUGGGCUACACACGUGCUACAAUGGUUGGUACAACGAGUUGCGAGUCGGUGACGGCGAGCUAAUCUCUUAAAGCCAAUCUCAGUUCGGAUUGUAGGCUGCAACUCGCCUACAUGAAGUCGGAAUCGCUAGUAAUCGCGGAUCAGCACGCCGCGGUGAAUACGUUCCCGGGCCUUGUACACACCGCCCGUCACACCACGAGAGUUUGUAACACCCGAAGUCGGUGAGGUAACCUUUUGGAGCCAGCCGCCUAAGGUGGGACAGAUGAUUGGGG